CUUUUAUACAGAAACUGUGUGUAUGUGUCAAAAGGUCCUUAGUAAUAACUAUAAUAUUCAAUGGUAUUAUUAAUAAAAAAUGUCCCCUCUCAUAAUGUUAGUGUUAACUUUUAGACUAAGUUUGAAAUUUUGUAUGCUAUUUUCAACUUAGUACUCGUAGAUGAAAUAUGAUCUUAUGCGACCGAAUGUUUAAUAGAAGUGUGCGCGCAGGUGUGUAUGCAUCUUAAGGGCCAGCAAAUACAGUACUAGACUGCGUGAACAUCCCAGACUUACGUAGUUUGUCAGAAAAAUUCGAGUAACAGUAGACUGUAAAAAUGUUAGGCUGAUGAAGAAAAAGAGGAACAGCAAUUCGAAUUAUACAACAUUAUUAUGUAUUCCUGUUGUUAAUCUGAGAUUAAUUGCUUUUUUUUAAUUUUAUAUUUUUAAGGGGCUUUUAUUAUAGGUGACCUAUACGCCAUUCCUAUUGUUACGAACUAAAUAAAAAAAACUAUAGUUAAAUCUAAUUCUUUAGAGUUUAUUUGUUGUAAGAAAGUUUAGCUGCUUGGUUCAGUAUAUAUUAAAAUUUUAUUGGUUCCAGUACGAUACCGCAUUAAAAGCCAUACGGUAUGGUCAUUUUGGGACAUGGUUUUUACCAAGAGGUAGGAUCGCAGUCAAGGGAUGCUUGCGUAGUUUGCACUUCUAUAUAUGCUAACUCUAAAGAUAUUGUUGAGUGUAAUGGAAAAUGAUGACGAUUUAAUUAACCCUAUAUUAUGCCGCGUACAGACUGAUGCAAUAUUAUGCGUGGAAUGUAUCAUCAAUGCAUAAAUUUGCCGUAUACGUUGCUGUAUACAGCAAAUUUUACUAACGUAAUAUGCAAUUUAACACACGUUGUACCAAAUUCCUAUAGUCCUAAUUCCUGGAAGUCUUGCUAGCAUGAGCCUACUUUUGUCGCGCCCGCUACAAACAUUACUAGUCCUAUGCUGAACGAUCCAUUUUUCUGUUUUUGAGACUAUCAAGUUGCCUUCAACUACGGAAAUAUAAUAUAAUAUAUAAAUAUCGCUCACCCUACUUUGAAGUACGGUGUGUGAUAUUUAUAUAUUAUAUUAUAUUUCCGUAGUUUGAUGGCAACUUUACAGGGACGUGUGCUUAGAAAGUUCGUAGUAAAUAUGUGGAAUGGCACUGAUAUAAUAUUACUUAAAUGUUACAAUGCAGCAGUCUGUAUGUGAACUUAUAUGUUUUUAUUAUUUUAUAGCUAAAUCGAUAUUGAUUGUUGUUUUAAGAUUAUUUUUAUUGUGAUACGAUGAUUCAAAUAAAGUUGUUCUAAUCGCUUAUAUUUGUCUGUUAUUUUUCUAAUAUUUUGUCGGUUGACGUAGGUCAUAAUGCCUUUUGAUUCAUGAUUUUGAAAAAGAUAUGACCGACAGCUCGUAAGCUGUACCGUAGUGAUAUAUUAUAUACAUAUUAUAAUCAAAUUGAUCGCUUAAAAGUCUGAUAUAAAACCGCUAUUAAAUAACAAAUAGGCUUAGAUUUCAAAAGUACUGCGUGAUUAUUUUAUUAUAGUUUACUUAUUGUUAAGCAUUUGAUGCUGUUUUGGCUUUCAUAUUUGAAACAGAAACCACCGAGGUCUAAAUAGUUUUAGGUAACCUAUACUAAGUUUGUUUAAGAGUAAUAUAGUCUUGCGACCCGAUUGUCUUUCGAAAUCUUUAAUUGUCACAAAGUACUUGUGUGUUAAAUGAGCACAGCAAAAAUAUAUUCCGAAAGCGAUUUCCAAGUAUCCAAGCAAAAUGAAUUUAAAAAUUUGAAGAUUAGUGAUUGGAUUUUAAGAAACAAUGUCUAAUUUUAUGUAAUGGAUAAUCUUUAAUCUAAACUUGAACUAUUAUAUGUACUUACUAAGUAUUAACAAUUGCCGAGUUGUUGUGUGGAAAUAUUAUAUUGGAAGUCGUAUUUACUUAUUUCAAAAUUAUGUAAGUAACCAACAUUGUAAAAGUUCAUGACUAAUUUGUGUAAGGCUAGUUGAAAGUUCAUGUUCAAUUAUGAAUUUUGCUUUUUUAGAUUUAGGGUUGCUUAUAAAUAUAUUAUUUCAAAUAUUAUGUAUAUGUUAUCUAUUUAGAAAAUCUUUAAAAGUAUAAAUUGUCUGAAAUGCAAAAUAGUGGUUGACCUGAUAUUUUCAUGAAUAAUAUUGUUGAUGUCCACAAGUUUAGUUUUAAAAAUAGUAAAAUUAAAAGUAAUUAUUCCCUUUUUAUUAUUAAUUUUGUUUACAUAAAUCGUGACGAGUAAAUAGACAACAAUUGGUCAUGUUCUUUGUUGUUAACGUUUUCUGAUAUAAUAUAAUUAUUUUCUAUGGUACUUACUUAAGUUAACGGAUGGGUUGUGCUGUGUGCACUCGAUUCCACACGACUCUCGAUUGUUUUUUUAAAUUUAUUUUAGCUAGCUCAAUAUAGCUAAUUGUAUCUUAAAUGUUUGACUGUAAACCCGAUGACACAACCAAUUAAUUCAUAGAUAUAAUAAAAAAUAUUUAGCAGAGUUUUAAAGUGGUGUAGCUGUAAAACGAAAUUAAGAUACACGCACUAUGGCAUUUCAGUUAAGAAGACCAUCAGCAAGGUACUUUAUAACUCGCAUACAUAUCAAACUUGUACCAACAGCAACUAAAAAUUCAUUUUUCGUAAAGAAAUCUCGAAUUUACUCAAUAAUUCAAGUGAGAGACAUUUCAAGUAAGACUACUGACGGUGUUCUUCUUAGUUGAAAUACAUACAGUGGCAUAGUUUGUAUGUUUCAUCUAUCUAUUGUAAUUCUUGUCACCCCGGUGUAGUGUGUUUUAUGAAUAAGUAAUUAAUGUAAUUAGAACCAACCAAUAAAACUAACACUCAAGAAAGACAAUAUUAAUGGGAAUUUUUGCUUAUGUUUGAAAUCGGCCCAAAUAAAAUCUCAAACUUUUUAUACUUGUAAUGGUUAAUGAAUGAUACUUAUUUUACUUCUAUUGGAUACUAAACGAUGUUAAUUCUUCACUUCCGUUCCUGCUUGGUAUUGAUUAACUUAAAAUUCCUUUAUAUAUCUUCAGGUAAUACUUAUUAUUAUAUUUGUAUGAUUUAAUUAAUAGUAUAAUAAGUAGAAAUUAUAAAUUAGGAUUUAUUUUAAAAAUGAAAUUCAUUUUGUGUUAUUACCACACAAUUGCUACACGUGAGUUUAAACGUUGUCAUGUCAAAUUUCUUGUAUACGUAUAUGUAACGGGAAUGCUUUUACGAGUCCAAAAACCUUUGCCAUAAUCUCCAGGAUGUAAGACGUAACAUGAGCUUGCAGGAUUAGUACGAAAUUUUUAUAGAUAGUUUUCGCUACCUCUCGACAAUCACCUCACACCAUGAUUCUAUUCUCGACAGUGUUACAUUUUGAAGCGUGACGUUCCGUCAUGCCUACAUCUCCCAAACUGUGGGACUCCAGUUUGAAAUGUCAAAGUAAAGAUUAUAAUUCUAUGAAAUCUCAUACUAUACUUAGGAAAAUACUUAAGAGGAAAAUUCCAGAGUAAAAUAGGGAAAUCAGUGAAAAACGCUUUUGUUCACAUAAACCUUCAUGUUGUUUAUGUAUUCGCAACAACCUCCUGGUGUGUUGGAAGAUUAUGUCCCGUUACAUAUACGGCAACUGAUUUUUACUGUCACCAAGCUGAUAUUAAAUAUUUCAAAAUA